AUUGAACGCUGGCGGCAUGCUUUACACAUGCAAGUCGAACGGUAACAUGGUGCUUGCACCGCUGACGAGUGGCGAACGGGUGAGUAAUGCGUCGGAACGUGCCGAGUAGUGGGGGAUAACGCAGCGAAAGUUGUGCUAAUACCGCAUACGUACUGAGGUAGAAAGUGGGGGACCUUCGGGCCUCACGCUAUUCGAGCGGCCGACGUCUGAUUAGCUAGUAGGUGAGGUAAAGGCUCACCUAGGCGACGAUCAGUAGCGGGUCUGAGAGGAUGAUCCGCCACACUGGGACUGAGACACGGCCCAGACUCCUACGGGAGGCAGCAGUGGGGAAUUUUGGACAAUGGGCGAAAGCCUGAUCCAGCCAUGCCGCGUGUCUGAAGAAGGCCUUCGGGUUGUAAGGGACUUUUGUCAGGGAGGAAAUCCCUAGUGCUAAUAACACUGGGGGAUGACAGUACCUGAAGAAUAAGCACCGGCUAACUACGUGCCAGCCGCCGCGGUAA
rnacentral:rRNA from 1 species